GGGGGGGGGGGGGGGGGGUGAGGAGUAGCUUGGAGUUACUUUCUUAAUUUAAGAAAUGCAACUUCUUGUUUCCAGUGAGAGCAGAACAUGUGAGAUACUCCUGCUGUCUUCUAAAAUUUCAACACAAAACCAUCUUAUUAUUUAUAGAGCACUUGGAAACUGCGAAGGCUGUUCUGCUUUUGUGGCAAAUACUGCAGCUACUAGUCCUUGCUGUAAUACAGUGUUUACUGCUUCAUAGCAUGUUAAUGAUGAUUAGUGUGGCAGACUGGAUGUCAGCUAGUUUUGUUGAGGAAGUUUACACGUAAUGCAGUGUUUAACUUGUUUAACUAGAAGUUACUACUUAAGUUGAGAGGUUUUUCAGUGAAAAUGAAAAGCUGGGUUUUACAGGGCAUAUCAUAAGAACAAACUGAGCUUUGAAUGUUGUUUCUAACCUACUGAUAGAUUUAAUUCCAAUCAAUUGUGUACGUUCAUAAAACCCAAGUAGUUUGAGACCUGGAUUUUGAAGUUGUUUCUUAAAACUCACCAUGGCAGCUACUUGUAUUUGGAAUAUUCUUCUUUCUUCUAUUUCUUUCUUCUAUUCAUUUGGAAUGUUCUUCUUUCUUCAUGAUAGAACUUAGUUAAGUACACAUGCACUAGAGAAGUGGAAAUAGGAGAAAUCUGUAUCUUCAUGAGUUAGACUUGAUUCUUUGGCAACUUUUGUCAGUCGAUGCUUUUCAGUUUGCUUGCUCAGGAGCAGUGCAUGUUGUUGAGAAGUAUUUAUUUACCUUCCAGUUUGCAGUCUCCUCAAUGACAGGAUUUGCACAUAGUUAAUCCAGAGAAUAUUAAAAAUGUUUAUAUGUUUCUGUUUACGUUCCUGUUUCAAUCUGUUGUAGAUUGACAAGGCUAAUGAGAUGUGAUUUUUUUCUUUUUUUUUUUUUGUUAAUCCUGCUCAAUCUUUGUAUUUGUGCUGGUCGUAUAACAGUGAAUGGUUUAAAUUCCUUUACUGAGCCUUGGAAUACUGUUUUUCUUCUAAGGACAUACCUUCACAGGUCUUGUCACAAAACCACUAUAGCAUUUUAUAUGCUUAAUUUCCGUUAACUUUUCAUUGUCCAUCAUUUACUGUAGUAAGUUUCACAGAGAAGAAUGUGCUUGAAACUACUAGCUUGUUCAUGACCUAUUUUAUCUAUAGGUGGUACUGUUGCCUAAAGCAUCGUGGAACUUACUUUAGGAACUUCCUGGUGAAAUGGGUAUGAAAUGCUCACACAAGACAGUUGUCACUUAGGAAGAUUUUAGUCACAUAAGUGUAAAGGCUCUUUAAAUCUUGUAUAACCUAAUUGCUUUUUUUUCCCUUGAACUAUUACUAAGCAAUUUUUCUUUGUAUUUUUUUUUGAAUACUUCAGAGUUUUUGUCUUGUACAAAAUGGCCAAAAAUGUUCAGUGCUGAAUUAUUUCAGGACAAGAGCUUGUUCAUAUAAAACACUGACACAGACUAGUUCAAUUGUCUAGAUGCUCAUAGGUAUGAUUAUGUAUACAUUGUAUGUCAUGAAAGAAUAGUGUACAAAAUGAUGCUCUUUUUCAGAGAAGUUGACCACUUCUGCCUUAAUAAUUGGAAACGUGAUCAUUUUCCUUCCCACUUUGUAAAAAUCAUGUGGGAGGGAAUGAGAAAUGGGGUUUGAGAAUUGGUAUGUGACUGGAUGGAGGCACUCAUGAAAGUAAAGAUAGGAUAUAGUGUCUGAAAGUACUGAACUCUUCAGAGGUGAUUCUGUCAGUCAGGGGUAAAGUGAUUUUACAGUGCUGUUGCUCAGUGCUCCUGAAGUUUGUGCAUUACUUUUCUCCAGGUUAGCAAGUAUCCUGCUAUAGCAUUCAGUAGUUAAAGUCCUUUUAAAGUGCUUCUGAGUUGGCGUUCUCUGUCACUACAAUGACAAAGCAACUGUAAAUUGUUCAGAUUCAGAAUAAUUUUGAGUAUUCAUUUCAUUUUUAUUUCUAAGACGAUGACACUAAGCAAAGGAAAUUUUAAGGACAAAAAGGCUGCAUAACUACUUAGACAUGGAGAAGCAGCAAAACAUGAUUCUAGAUUACCUUGAUAUUACUUCCCUUUCGAUGUAUAUUUAUUAAAAACGCAAAACGAUGGGGUUCUUUUACCUCUUUCAAGCCUCUUGGCUGCAGCUGGAUGUGGUGUAAGUGGUGAUAUAUGUUUCACAUCAGUGGCUAAAUGCAAGCAUGGGGGUGCAGUUAUAACCACAUUCUUGUUUCAUCCUGUUUUCUUAAUGCAGUUCCACUUUCCUCAUCAAAGACAUUAACUGUACUAACAUAUUUUCAUUUGCACUCUACGCCCACAGCAUCUGAAUAUAAUUUUGUUCAUUGUUCACGAAGGAAAGAGGCAUUCUAAUGUUGAACAUCUGGAGGAAUAGUUGUAGAAUGAAAAAGUAGGAAAAUGAGUGCAGUGAUCAUAAACCAAAGCUGAACAUGGAGCUCAGUGUGGUUUAUUGUAGAGGUGUCCUUAGGUUGUGACAGCUGCCUCAAAAAGUGGCGAAAGUGGAAUAACUUUUUAUUUAAUCUUGUUGAAGAUAAAUAUUGAAAACAAGAUCCUUUUGGUGUUACUCAUUCACUUGCCUUGAUCAAUGAAAGCUAAUCAUUUUGAUGUUUGGUACCAUCUUAUUUUUUUUAAUUAACCAAAUCAGGUAGCUUCCACUGUUUUCAACGAAGUUUAUGAGUGUUCACAUGGGGCCCUAGUGUUUUUUAGUUGUCUUCACUGAGCAGGUGAGCAGCUAAUUUGACCAUAGGAAAAAAACUGUUACCUCUUAGUAAUAUACUAAAGUAUGUUGUUUUAAAAAGCAUGGUACACUUGUCAUUUCGUGAUUCAGGGAUAUUAGGAGAAUCACAACGAAGUAAAAAGGUAGUAAGGUUUGAAAUUGGCGAAGAUGUUUGUAGUUUAGAGCUCGGAAUGGCUCUACUAGGUCUGAUCAGACGUCUGUCUAUCCUGGUAUCUUUUCCUCCGUCAAGAAAAUUAAUGAGUAAUGAUCACCAGUGGUUGUUUAGAUUAUUACUCUCAAAUUCUUUAAAGACACGAUGGUUUGUUGCUUUUCCUGAAUGCUCUGCUAGCAUUCAGAAUUUAUGACAGGGGAACUUUCUUGGCUGGAGCUGAUAUCUGUCCUUCACAGCUUUUUUUGCAUAAUGAAUUUGUGGUCCUUGUCAAAUAUAUACAUAUCACUAAAAACAAUGUAAAAUUAACUCUGAAGAGUGCCUCCAGGGAGUGCUGCUUCAGUUCCACAGAUGACAAAAUUUGACAGACGUGGGUGGAAUAGUGGCCUAUUGGCUGUAGGGAUUAUUCUUGUGUUUUUUUGUUUUGUUUUGUUUUUUUAAUUUUUUCAAUUUUACUUGAUUACUACAAGGAGAAUAAAUACUUACAUUAAAUGUAUUUGUUAAGUUGGCAACAGAGAACCAACAACCUCUGUUUGGUAUGUGUAUUUGUACCCUGAUUCAUCCAUUUUGCUACCAACAAAAGUAUGUUAGUGCUUUUGGUCUCAGGUAUUAAAGUACUUUUGUCUCUCUUGUAGUGAACAUUUAAAUUAGCAGUAAAACUGACCUUGGGCAGCUUGCAAGAUCACAUACAGGAUUUUCUCCUCCUUAGAGCAUUUUUGAGUCCCCAUGCGCUGGAAAGCCUAGUCAAGAAGCUGGAGAAGGAAGAGAUGAGAGUGUUUUUAUGGCCACGAUACUCUGUGUGUCUGCAGCAGUGUAGCUGAAUGAAUAAUUUCAACCAACUAGACAGAGAAAUUCUGUUUUCGUCAUGCUGUAUUACCGGUGCUGGCGGAGCUGAAAGUUUCUGCUUCUUGGUGCGAGCAUGUAUAAAAGGAAUGACUUCAUGGCCAAUGUGAUGGUCACCUCUGCCACUCCAGAGGGUAGUAGCAGCUCAGAUUCUCUGGAAGGGCGAAGUUCAGAUUAUGCCAAUAAGAGCUAUGAUGCUGUUGUAUUUGAUGUAUUAAAAGUAACUCCUGAGGAGUUUGCUAGCCAAAUUACGUUAAUGGAUAUGCCAGUAUUUAAAGCUAUACAGCCUGAGGAACUAGCCAGCUGUGGGUGGAAUAAGAAAGAAAAGCAUAUCCUUGCUCCAAAUAUUGUUGCCUUCACUAGGAGGUUUAACCAGGUCAGUUUUUGGGUUGUACGAGAAAUAUUAACAGCACAGACGUUAAAAAUAAGGGCAGAAAUACUGAGCCAUUUUGUGAAAACUGCUAAAAAGCUUCUAGAGCUGAAUAACCUCCAUUCUCUUAUGUCUGUGGUGUCAGCACUGCAAAGUGCACCCAUCUUCAGACUGACCAAAACCUGGGCUCUCUUGAAUCGCAAAGACAAGGCCACUUUUGAGAAGUUAGACUACUUACUUUCUAAAGAGGACAAUUAUAAAAGAACACGAGAGUACAUCAGAAGCUUAAAAAUGGUUCCAAGUAUUCCAUAUUUAGGAAUUUAUCUCUUCGACUUAAUCUACAUUGAUUCUGCAUAUCCUGCUUCAGGCAGCAUUAUGGAAAAUGAACAAAGAUCCAAUCAAAUGAACAAUAUUCUCCGAAUAAUAGCUGAUCUGCAAGUCUCCUGUAACUAUGAACAUCUUACAACGCUACCCCAUGUACAAAAGUAUUUGAAGUCUGUCCGUUACAUUGAGGAACUUCAGAAAUUUGUGGAAGAUGACAAUUAUAAAUUGUCAUUAAGAAUUGAGCCAGGUAACAGCUCUCCUCGACUGGUUUCCUCCAAAGAAGAUCUCACAGGUCCAGCUGAAGUGUCAGCAGUUAUGAAAUUCAGCAGGAGACCAACAUGUCCCGACACCUCGGUAGCAGCAAGUCUGUCUACACCUCCUAUACCAAGGCACAGGAAGAGUCACAGCCUGGGAAACAACAUGAUGUGUCAGUUCAGUGUGGUGGAGAGCAAAAGCGCCACUUUCCCGACGGAGAGGCCGCGCCACCUCCUGGAUGACAGCGUCCUGGAGUCACAGAGCCCGACCCGCAGCGACAUGCUGAACUCACUUUUCACUAAUGGCAUCUCCAUAGAUAGCAGUGAAAGCUCGGAAUUUAGUGAGGAGCAGUCAUCAGGGCUUGAAAGGGGUCGUUUGUAUGCCACGCUGGGGCCAAAUUGGAGGGUACCAAUCCGGAAUUCUCCCAGGAGUCGAAGCUGUGUCUACAGCCCAACAGGAGCCUGCAGCUGCACACUAGGUAGUUCCAUGGGAGUAGUUACCAUGGAAGGACCCUUAAGAAGAAAAACAUUGCUCAAAGAAGGCAAGAAACCUACUCUCUCUUCAUGGACUAGAUACUGGAUUAUGCUUUCAGGAUCGAAUCUUCUGUAUUUUGGAGCAAAAUCUUUAAGAGGCAAUGAAAGAAAACAUUAUAAAUCUACACCUAGUAAAAAGAUCUCCAUUGUGGGCUGGAUGGUGGCACUGCCUGAUGACCCUGAACAUCCUGACAUUUUCCAGCUAAAUAACCCUGACAAAGGUAAUGUUUACAAGUUCCAGACUGGUUCAAGGUUUCAUGCAAUAUUAUGGCAUAAGCAUUUGGAUGAUGCGUGCAAAAGCAACAAGCCUCAGAAACAGGAAGACUUUUUCAAGACUUUACUACUUUGUAGUUCUGGAAAUCACUUGGAUCUGUGCAAUUUUCCUCCAGGCUCUUAUCCACAUUAUAUAUAUUUUAUAAAGAUGAACAGUGCACCAAAGACCUUGCUCAGGAACAUAGUGACUGUGGUAUUGGUUCACCUCAGGCCUUGCUCAGGCAGAUAGUGACCACAGUACUGGCUCAGCCUGGUUGCUGGAGGAACUGAUGGACAGACAUCUUGUUCAACAGCUGAGGGAAAAUUGAGUAUGUGCCAGAAAACAUGACUAUGGGUCGACCAUCUUACCCUGAGUGAUGUGUGUAAUGCCAUCAGCCACAACGUCAUAGUCUUUCACAGGACAAAAGAAGACUAAAAAUGGAAAGAAAGAGAAGGGACAAGCCAGCCUAUCUAGAAAAUAUAGCCGCCAAGGAAAGCUGUGCCAGGGAAGAGGAACACACUGGUACCAAAGUCCAGUUCACAAUGGGUUCAUUCCUUCUGCCAUUUACACAAAGCCACAGCUGAUCAGACUGAAACAUUCCUCUUGCUGGCUCCUAUUCUUCCUUCAUUUUAUUAAUAACCUGGCAACAGGAUAGGGGCUAAGAAAAGAGACCUUCUAGAAUGGAGAAUUUACUGAAGAAACCAGAAGUGAAAGGUAGGUAUGGGAGUUUGAAGUCACAUUUAUUAGGUGACAUAGUUCCUUUAGAGAACGAGAAAAGGACUUUAGGCAUGAGCACAACCCAUCAGGAAAAUCCAUGGUGACCUGGGCAAAUUCAUGCAGCACGGAUGUUGUAGAACAGUUUUAUGGAAGUGUGACAUCUUAAAGUCAAAAUAUAUUUUUCUCUGAUUAUUUUUUGUA